rnacentral:rRNA from 1 species
UGGGGAAUAUUGGACAAUGGGCGCAAGCCUGAUCCAGCCAUGCCGCGUGAGUGAUGUAGGCUCUAGGGUUGUAAAGCUCUUUCCCCGGUGAAGAUAAUGACGGUAACCGGAGAAGAAGCCCCGGCUAACUUCGUGCCAGCAGCCGCGGUAAUACGAAGGCGGCUAGCGUUGUUCGGAUUUACUGGGCGUAAAGCGCACGUAGGCGGACUUUUAAGUCAGGGGUGAAAUCCCGGGGCUCAACCCCGGAACUGCCUUUGAUACUGGAAGUCUUGAGUAUGGUAGAGGUGAGUGGAAUUCCGAGUGUAGAGAUGAAAUUCGUAGAUAUUCAGAGGAACUCCAGUGGCGAAGGCGGCUCACUGGACCAGUACUGACGCUGAGGUGCGAAAGCGUGAGGAGCAAACAGG